AGUUUUGUGGAAACUUUAAAUAUUUUUCUUUUAAUGAAAGUCUUUCUAUUUACGACGAUUUUUCUGUGACUGUCAACUUUGGAUGAUUUGCUUUUUUCUUCUUUUAUACUUCAAAGAUAAACCAAAAUUUAAUAUGUAUGCAAUUAAAGAGUAUCUUAAUAUAUAAAGUAGACUUCUAUGGCUUCUUAAGAUGUCCAGCUCAGCAGGGAGAGGGGGGCGUUUUCCGCCACGUGGCAGCUCCCAAAUCUUUGUUUCAUAUUUUUCGAAACGUUCACGAGACUUGAUUGGGCCAGAUCAUGUUCUUUUCUUAAGCUUUUAAGUUAUUCUGUAUUUUAGGUUAGGCCCAUGAACCUAAAACGACACAAAUGUAAAGUUUGACUUUCUAAAUUUUGUACAUUUCCUUCGUAACAUCCGUCAAUUCAGUUCUACCCCCACUUUUACUCGCUGGAGUUACUCAUCGAAGUUAUGUUAGGCAAUCAAUGUUUCCCACGUCUCAUCAGGUCCGGAUUUUUCAUCUUCCCUACCAAGCGGAAUCUUCAUAUCUAAAUAGGGCCUUUAGACGAGUUGAAGAGAAAGCGAUCGAUUGAUCUCUGGAAAUCGUUACUUUUCCUCUAGAAACUCUGAAAAUCGUUAUAUCAGAAGAAAUAUAACUCCACCGACCACCGUUCAAAAACAUCGCGAUAGUCAACAUACCGAUGUCUGUUUCCAAGGAUGGCUGCUGUAAGGAGAUUGUUGCUACACGGAGCCUAAUUGGUGCGAACAUGGUGUCCGUUGAGGAGAAGCCAAAGCAACACCCGUGGCUAUCCGGUUCACUGAGAAGACGAGGUUUGUUGAGGAUCGACCGAGCCUCUACCUAGCAUCCCAAGUUUAAGUUUCGCAAAUAUGAAGACAUCAUGUCUAUGGUCAACACGAACAUCGAGUUACUUGGUUAAUUUUCCAAAUCAAACUUCUCCUUAACAAUUGCAAUCCUCACGUUUAGAUUUUCCACCUAAUACUUAAUCUGUUUCGACUUCACGCACAAAUAUCUUAGGGGAAGUGACGGCCAUGGAAAGCACCCACAAUGAUGACACGUAGAGCAUUCAACGUAUGAUGCUAUUAGUUGGUUUGAUGUGGUAACAUAGCUUUGCAACCCCGUAUUAAGUUAUUUUGUUAGCCUAUUAGUUGGUUUCAUGUGGAUCAUUUUGCUAUGAACCUCUACCAUAUAUGCAGAGAGCCAAUAAUGUGUGCGUUAGUGUGUUU